UGCCAGCCGCCGCGGUAAUAAGGAGGGGGUUAGCGUUGUUCGGAAUUACUGGGCGUAAAGCGCACGUAGGCGGAUAGAUAAGUUGGAAGUGAAAUCCUAUGGCUCAACCAUAGAACUGCUUCCAAAACUGUCUAUCUAGAAUAUGGGAGAGGUAGAUGGAAUUUCUGGUGUAGGGGUAAAAUCCGUAGAGAUCAGAAGGAAUACCGAUUGCGAAGGCGAUCUACUGGAACAUUAUUGACGCUGAGACGCGAAAGCGUGGGGAGCAAACAGGAUUAGAUA
rnacentral:rRNA from 1 species